AUUGAACGCUGGCGGCAGGCUUAACACAUGCAAGUCGAGCGGAGAUGAGGUGCUUGCACCUUAUCUUAGCGGCGGACGGGUGAGUAAUGCUUAGGAAUCUGCCUAUUAGUGGGGGACAACAUUCCGAAAGGAAUGCUAAUACCGCAUACGUCCUACGGGAGAAAGCAGGGGAUCUUCGGACCUUGCGCUAAUAGAUGAGCCUAAGUCGGAUUAGCUAGUUGGUGGGGUAAAGGCCUACCAAGGCGACGAUCUGUAGCGGGUCUGAGAGGAUGAUCCGCCACACUGGGACUGAGACACGGCCCAGACUCCUACGGGAGGCAGCAGUGGGGAAUAUUGGACAAUGGGGGGAACCCUGAUCCAGCCAUACCGCGUGUGUGAAGAAGGCCUUAUGGUUGUAAAGCACUUUAAGCGAGGAGGAGGCUACUGAGACUAAUACUCUUGGAUAGUGGACGUUACUCGCAGAAUAAGCACCGGCUAACUCUGUGCCAGCCGCCGCUGUAAAAC
rnacentral:rRNA from 1 species